rnacentral:lncRNA from 1 species
CGGGGCGGGACGGGACCCCCGCGGCCGCGGGAAAACAGCCCGGCUCGCUCCGAACAACAAAUAUCCGCGUUUCCCCCCCCUCCUCGAGACCCGUUUUGCCCGUGUUUAACACCAGAAUUUUGCUUUAUUGCUGCCUCGGUGUAAACCAUCCCGCGAAGCUGAAAACGGGGGGAAAAGCGGUGUUUUUGGGCAAUGAUGCGUGCGAGGGAGGGAGAACGGGGGCCCGGACGCCUGGGUCCCUUYGCCGGCGUGAGGGRCAGCGGUGUCUCCCGGGUCGACGYUGCCGUCCCRUCKCUCUCUCCCGGGCGCUGGUCRUCCCCCGGCCCCGCUCCUUCCUCCUCAUCCCGCUGGGCGCCGUCAGGAGGAUUUUGGGGUGGAUUUGGGGGGUUUUGGGCUCGCUCCCGGCGGGGGUUGGCCCUAGCGGGGCUUCGGGCUCCCCUGGGGCGCGGGGCCGGGCUGGGCGUGGAGCAGGACCUGGAGCUGCUGGGCUUCGUCCGGCCGGGGACGGGCCCUGGGGGGAGGGACAGAGUGGGGCGGGGGCGGCGGGGGCUUUUCACCCUGACGUCAUCACCCCCGGCUACCCAGGCGUUCGGCCAGCUGCCCAGCCCACCGUCCAUCCCACCGUCCAUCCCACCGUCCAUCCCACCAUCCAUCCUCGGACCAGUCCAUCCCUCCAUCCCUCCAUCCACACGUUCAUCCCCAAAGACGAGCACUCAUCCGUCCUUCUCCAUACUCAAUCAUCCCUCCAUCCACACAUUCAUUCCCAAAGAUGAGCACUCAUCCAUGCAGCUCCAUAGUCAUCCCUCCAUCCCCACGUUCAUUCCCAAACACGAGCACUCAUCCAUCCAUCGCCAUAGUCAAUCAUCCCUCCAUCCCUCCAUCCACACGUUCAUCCCCAAAGACGAGCACUCAUCCAUCCAUCUAUGUACUCAGUCAUUCCUCCAUCCCCACAUUCAUUCCCAAAGACGAGCACUCAUCCAUCGCCAUAGUCAAUCAUCCCUCCAUCGCUCCAUCCACACGUUCAUCCCCAAAGACAAGCACUCAUCCAUCCUUCUCCAUACUCAAUCAUCCCUCCAUCCCUCCAUCCACACGUUCAUCCCCAAACACAAGCACUCAUCCAUCCAGCUCCAUAGUCAUCCCUCCAUCCACACGUUCAUUCCCAAAGAUGAGCACUCAUCCAUCCAGCUCCAUAGUCAUCCCUCCAUCCCCACGUUCAUUCCCAAAGACAAGCAUUCAUCCAUCCAUCUACGUACUCAAUCAUCCCUCCAUCGCUCCAUCCACACGUUCACCCCCAAACACAAGCACUCAUCCAUCUCCAGUCAAUCAUCCCUCCAUCCCCACGUUCAUNNNNNNNNNNNNNNNNNNNNNNNNNNNNNNNNNNNNN